rnacentral:rRNA from 1 species
CCAGACUCCUACGGGAGGCAGCAGUGGGGAAUAUUGGGCAAUGGGCGCAAGCCUGACCCAGCAACGCCGCGUGAAGGAAGAAGGCUUUCGGGUUGUAAACUUCUUUUAAGAGGGAAGAGCAGAAGACGGUACCUCUUGAAUAAGCCACGGCUAACUACGUGCCAGCAGCCGCGGUAAUACGUAGGGGGCAAGCGUUAUCCGGAAUUAUUGGGUGUAAAGGGUGCGUAGACGGAAGAACAAGUUGGUUGUGAAAUCCCUCGGCUCAACUGAGGAACUGCAACCAAAACUAUUCUCCUUGAGUGUCGGAGAGGAAAGUGGAAUUCCUAGUGUAGCGGUGAAAUGCGUAGAUAUUAGGAGGAACACCAGUGGCGAAGGCGACUUUCUGGACGAUAACUGACGUUGAGGCACGAAAGUGUGGGGAGCAAACAGGAUUAGAUACCCGAGUACC